rnacentral:lncRNA from 1 species
ACCGACAUUCAUCACUAGGAGUCUAUGAAGAGUCGAAAGGGACUCUCCCGGAAUAACCUUGCAGUCCUUGCACAUACCCCUAUCGCUCCUUCUGAGGAGGAGGUAAUCUUCACCCAGAGACCGACAUUCAUCACUAGGAGUCUAUGAAGAGUCGAAAGGGACUCUCCCGGAAUAACCUUGUAGUCCUUGCACAUACCCCAAUCGCUCCUUCUGAGGAGGAGGUAAUCAAUCUGAAUCCUCACCGCCGAACUCUUAAAGGUGACCAAAUUCUCCUCCCUCUUCCGAAAUGUCGAGUUCGCAAUCAGAAGCUCGGAAGCCCUGGAGAAAUCAAGCAGUGACGUGCCUCCUCCGUUUCUAACCCCAAAGCCGAAGCCACCUUGCACCUCACCAUAACCACCAGCAUCAGCCCCAAUAUGACCAUUAAAGUCCCCUCCAAUAACUAACUUCUCAGAUUGGGGAAUACUACUCACCAUAUCACCCAAAAGCGCCUCUUAGCCUCCUCGUCUAAGCCCGCUUGCGGCGCGUAAGCGCUGAUGACGUUGAGAACGCAACCCCCAAUGACCAACUUAAUAGACAUUAACCUAUCAUUCAUUCGCCUAACCUCGACCACGGACUCCUUUAGAUCCCUAUUCUACCAAGAUGCCCACUCCAUUCUUACCUCUCACGACCCCAGAAUACCACAGCUUAAAUCCGUCUACAUUCCUCGCCUUCGACCCUUUCCACCUAGUCUCCUGGACACAUGCUAUGUUAACCCUCCUCUUCUGAAUAACCUUCGCGAACUCAAUGGACUUACCCGUCAGAGUGCC